ACUUUGCAGCCCGACUUGAGCGGAAAUCCUUUUGCGAGGAACGAGCAAAAGAUUGGGAGCGGAAGGCGGAAAAACCU
rnacentral:misc_RNA from 1 species